rnacentral:tRNA from 1 species
GGCUGGGUAGCUCAGUUGGUUAGAGCGUGGGACUCAUAAGCCCGAGGUCGUGGGUUCGAAACCCACCCCAGCUACCA